rnacentral:tRNA from 1 species
GCCGCUAUGGUGGAAUUGGCAGACACAAGGGACUUAAAAUCCCUCGAUGGAGACAUCGUACCGGUUCGACCCCGGUUAGCGGCACCA